CGCUAACUAUGAGUAAACAAAAUACAGUUUGUUUAUGCUAUAGCAUAAAAGCAGCAAGAUACGAGAUAACUUCUUGUUUAACGUCGACGCGAUUGUUGUUUUUUAAUAAUUGUGCUAUUGUGGUGCUAUUAAGUAGCUUGAAGAACUUACCACCAAGUCGAGAGCGACUGCAGCACCCUCAGUAUAAUUCCAACUUGUUACAUCUUGCUUUACAUCACAAUAUGGACCAAUAGCUUGCGACAUUAAAACUCUAUUUAAGUCUGCUCUUUGAUAAACCCAGCAAUGGUAUUUACUGCCAACCUAUAAAAUAGAGAGUUAUUUAGAACAUUUAUAAACAAUGAACAUUCAAAUUACGAAGAGAUGUACGCACUGUAAAUAUCUACUGGACGUCCCAGAUGAUCGACGGACAGACAUAAAUAUUUGGUCGAGGCGUGUCUGUGACACCACCAAGAAUUCUAGUUUCAAAAAGAACGUCUCCUUUUUGCUGGAAACUAAAUUUACCAGCAACUGGACAUCGC